rnacentral:rRNA from 1 species
CUCGGGUGAAGGAACUAGGCAAAAUGGUGCCGUAACUUCGGGAGAAGGCACGCUGACACGUAGGUGAAGUGGUUUACCCAUGGAGCUGAAGUCAGUCGAAGAUACCAGCUGGCUGCAACUGUUUAUUAAAAACACAGCACUGUGCAAACACGAAAGUGGACGUAUACGGUGUGACGCCUGCCCGGUGCCGGAAGGUUAAUUGAUGGGGUCAGCGCAAGCGAAGCUCCUGAUCGAAGCCCCGGUAAACGGCGGCCGUAACUAUAACGGUCCUAAGGUAGCGAAAUUCCUUGUCGGGUAAGUUCCGACCUGCACGAAUGGCGUAAUGAUGGCCAGGCUGUCUCCACCCGGGACUCAGUGAAAUUGAACUCGCUGUGAAGAUGCAGUGUACCCGCGGCAAGACGGAAAGACCCCGUGAACCUUUACUAUAGCUUGACACUGAACACUGGUCCUUGAUGUGCAGGAUAGGUGGGAGGCUUUGAAGUGUGGACGCCAGUCUGCAUGGAGCCGACCUUGAAAUACCACCCUUUAAUGGCUGGUGUUCUAACGUGGGCCCGUGAACCGGGUUGCGGACAGUGUCUGGUGGGUAGUUUGACUGGGGCGGUCUCCUCCUAAAGAGUAACGGAGGAGCACGAAGGUUGGCUAAUCCUGGUCGGACAUCAGGAGGUUAGUGCAAUGGCAUAAGCCAGCUUGACUGCGAGCGUGACGGCGCGAGCAGGUGCGAAAGCAGGUCAUAGUGAUCCGGUGGUUCUGAAUGGAAGGGCCAUCGCUCAACGGAUAAAAGGUACUCCGGGGAUAACAGGCUGAUACCGCCCAAGAGUUCAUAUCGACGGCGGUGUUUGGCACCUCGAUGUCGGCUCAUCACAUCCUGGGGCUGAAGUAGGUCCCAAGGGUAUGGCUGUUCGCCAUUUAAAGUGGUACGCGAGCUGGGUUUAGAACGUCGUGAGACAGUUCGGUCCCUAUCUGCCGUGGGCGCUGGAAGAUUGAGGGGGGCUGCUCCUAGUACGAGAGGACCGGAGUGGACGCAUCACUGGUGUUCGGGUUGUCAUGCCAAUGGCACUGCCCGGUAGCUACAUGCGGAAGAGAUAAGUGCUGAAAGCAUCUAAGCACGAAACUUGCCCCGAGAUGAAUCUUCCCUGAGCCUUUAAGGCUCCUGAAGGAACGUUGAAGACGACGACGUUGAUAGGCCGGGUGUGUAAGCGCAGCGAUGCGUUGAGCUAACCGGUACUAAUGAACCGUGAGGCUUAACCUUACAACGCCGAAG